rnacentral:misc_RNA from 1 species
UACGUAGGGUGCAAGCGUUAUCCGGAAUCAUUGGGCGUAAAGAGUUCGUAGGCGGUGAUGUAAGUUUGUGGUUAAAUCCGGUCGCUCAACGAUCGACUCGCCACAAAAACUACAUCACUGGAGUUUGGCAGAGGCAACUGGAAUUCCGCAUGUAGGGGUAAAAUCCGUUGAUAUGCGGAGGAACACCAAAAGCGAAGGCAGGUUGCUGGGCCAUUACUGACGCUGAGGAACGAAAGCGUGGGGAGCAAACAGG